UCAUUGAACGGGCGGCACCAAGCCAUAAACGCAAGGGAAAGAAAAAAAAAGAUGAACUGGGGGGCGGGGACAGAGGCGUCGGCGGUGAGAUUCCGGCGGCCGUCGCCCCGUAGACCUUCGCCCAGCGGCGCCGCGGACCUGGAGGGCUGAGUCACUCCAAGAAUACGUACUUCGGUAAUCUUCAAUACAAGUAGCAUAUCUUGUCAGAACAACUCCAUCGGGGAACACCUGCCUGCACAUAUCCUCCAUCCGGAAUUCUGCAAGGAUGUAACUAGAGGAAAUAACACCAGAGGAGUCUCUCCUCACGGCCGUACGUAAACUCCGACAGCGCUGUUGCACGUGGCCGUGUCCCCUUGGCCUCGAUCCGGUUGAGCGAGGCGAUCCUAGCUACAGGAGGAGGACAAUUAGGACAUCUCCAGCUGUGGUGGUUGAUACCACAUUUCUUCUCUCCUCUUUUUUUUUAAAGUGUCAUUUUCUUUUGUCUCUGUAUCCGUGUAGUACCUGUUACUUUUUCAAGAAACCGCUACUUAGUUGUGGUAUUCAUCUCUCCUUCCAUUGGCUAUGAAGAUGCCCUUAGUUCUAUCCCA